UCAUGCAUUGUUGAUGAUAAUGAUUUGGUACUUGAUUACAUGAUUUUAUGACACUUAAUUUAAUAUUGUCAAUUUACUGUGAUAAGGUUAUGUCUCUACUGAGCUGUUGAAGUUCACCCCUCUAUUGUUAUGUAGGUUCACAAACUAAACAAUCUAAGAGGGUAGACGGGAUGAGAUCGGAUUAAGUGUGAGGAUAGAAUUUUGUAUUUCUUUAUUUUAGCCUUGUAAAGAAUUA
rnacentral:lncRNA from 1 species